UACGUAGGGCGCAAGCGUUGUCCGGAAUUAUUGGGCGUAAAGAGCUCGUAGGCGGUUUGUCGCGUCUGCUGUGAAAACUCGGGGCUUAACCCCGGGCCUGCAGUGGGUACGGGCAGACUAGAGUGCGGUAGGGGAGACUGGAAUUCCUGGUGUAGCGGUGAAAUGCGCAGAUAUCAGGAGGAACACCGGUGGCGAAGGCGGGUCUCUGGGCCGUAACUGACGCUGAGGAGCGAAAGCGUGGGGAGCGAACAGG
rnacentral:rRNA from 1 species